rnacentral:rRNA from 1 species
CCUACGGGUGGCAGCAGUGAGGAAUAUUGGUCAAUGGCCGUAAGGCUGAACCAGCCAAGUCGCGUGAAGGAAGAAGGAUCUAUGGUUUGUAAACUUCUUUUAUAGGGGAAUAAAUGUCUCCAUGUGUGGAUUUUUGCAUUUACCCUAUGAAUAAGCAUAGGCUAACUCCGUGCCAUCAGCCGCGGUAAUACGGAGGAUGCGAGCGUUAUCCGGAUUUAUUGGGCUUAAAGGGUGCGUAGGUUGUUUUUUAAGUCAGCGGUGAAAGUUUGGGGCUCAACCAUAAAAUUGCCGUUGAAACUGGAAGACUUGAGUGUGGUUGAGGGAGGCGGAAUGCGUGGUGUAGCGGUGAAAUGCAUAGAGAUCGCGCAGAACUCCGAUGGCGAAGGCAGCUUACUAAGCAAUAACUGACACUGAGGCACGAAAGCGUGGGGAUCAAACAGGAUUAGAUACCCUGGUAGUC